rnacentral:lncRNA from 1 species
UAGUGGACAGAAGCUAAAGAACAGGGGGGCUUCCUAGGAUAGCCUGAGCCACGUAAACAAUGGAGAUUCCACAAAGGAUGUGACCAAGCCACGAGUUUGAUUCUUAUCGUUCUCACAAGUCCAUUAUGAUCACAAACCAUGUUCACAUCCCCAAACUGGGCACUAUACCAUCUUCAUUCUCAAACACAGAUAAUUUUAACAAGGAUAUUUAAAGGCAAAAUUUUCAGGAGCUUAUCUGUAUUUCAAGGAGAUUUUACAAAAAGUAAAUUCUAAGAAACAGCGAUUAUAGGGAUUCUAAAUAUAAAUAUCUAAGCAAGUGUUAAGACCAUUUAAGAGUUAUUCUGAAUAUUAAAAUGCAAAGCUUCACGAACAUUCUAAAUUUAAAGCCCUACUGAGUCUUACAUUAUAUCAGAAUUUAAGUCCUAUUAAGAAUAGAGCUUUAUUUUGUUGGGUGCUUUAGAAACCAAGCAAGAAAAGAAGAUUCUUCACUGAAAACAGUUUAUAGAAUUCAAGGACAUUGACUACAAAGAAGUAUUGUGAUCAUUGAAAUUGGGUGUGUUUGACAACUCAAUGUUUCAACUAUAAAACUUUCCAAAAUUAGAUCUAUAAAAUUGGAAACUGCUACGCAACUGCUCUAAUUACUGUGCUAGUUCAUAAAUUAGUACUGAGGAAUAAAGGCUCAAAUAAUCUCUUUUAAGAAGUCUUUGCCUCAACAUUGUCAUUACUCAGAAUUGUACAUUCAGUCAUUAGGCGAAUACUUGAUGAAGGCCUACUGUGUGCCAUUGGGAUUAAAACACACACAACCGUCCUCUGGAUUCAAGGAAUCAAGUGAGAAAAACUAUUACCUUACAAUUAAGUAAGACUUUUAUUUUUGUUUCUCUCCUCCCUUCAACUAGAAUGUAAACUCUACUGAAAGUAAGAGUUUUUGUUCACCAGUAUAUCCUAAGUAUGAUAAAAUAUUACCUGGUGCACAGUAAGUGCACAAUAAGUAUUUGCUGAGAUCAGCAGAGAAGAGGGGAAGGGAAAGGAGGAAGAAAGUACUUCCAGGGGAGAUAAGCUCCGUCUAGAAGCUCUAAAUGAAAAAUAAUUUGAGCAAAGCUUACAGGGGCCACAUAUACCUGCAUAAAACUAAGUGGGUUUUUUUUUCUUUUUCUUUUGUUUUGUUCUCUUUUUCUUUUGAAACAUGCCUUAAUAUUGAGUCAAAGAACCAGUACUUUGACAGCUAAAAAUAAUAAAUAAAUUCUUGGAAUGCAGGGACACUCCUUAAGACCCCUCUGUCCAUCUCUAUUUGUGUUUCACAUGCAUAGCAACUAUCUAAAAUCUACCUUCCUUCUCUACAAACUCUUAAUGAAACUACCCCCCCAACUCAGCCCACCUUAACAAAGGAAGAACACUUUCAUCAUUUACCUGUCCCACUCUAUUUUUGAACCAGGUACUUAAUUUUUAUCAAAAUGUUAUCUAACACGCAUUUUAAAACUGGAGCAGCCUUUGCUAGAAGCCAAGUCUACUUCGUGGUUUAAAUAUUUUAACCCUUGAUCAACUACACCUAGAUGAUUAACCCCAUCAAGUUGACCUGAAGAAACUUCUGUUGUAUGGUGAUUGAAUGUCUCUGCCCUAAGCCCAACCUCCUACUACAAGAGGAAGCAUAAAUUAUCUGCAGAUGCUAAACCUAGCAGUCUAUUAUUCAGAAAGUGGGAGCUUAGGCUGAUGCAUGCAAGGUUCAUUUCCUACCAUAAGGCAAUUCAAAGAGGUUUUUUUUUUUUUUUUUUUGAUCUUUGUUUCAGUGUUCCUUUCUCCAUAUUUUUUGGCCUGGAACCCAGAGUAGACAUCUUCUACAUGUAUAACUAUCAUUUCUUAGUUUGGCAAUACUUCACUAAUUGGCCGUAUGACUAAAGUUGUCCUGUGCUAUAAUGUCCUUUAAGUUGGAUGAAACAUAGUAUCAGCAGUUGGAAUCACUAGAAAGCGUGAUUGGUUACCAUGGUAUAAGAAAGGUGGCUGUAAUGGGUGGUUGCUCAGGUACAGACCCAUUCCUGGUCCAUCUGAAUGCACUUGAAUAUGUUGGCUGAAACUCUUCCUUGAGAACAUCACUGAAGAGGCUACUGAUAGGCUCAUGCAUCCUGGCUGGAGAAGGCAAAGGACAUAAAAACAAGUCAACAACUGACCAGUGACACAUAAAGGCACAAAGAUGUAGUUUACCAUGAAACACCUUAUUUUGUCGAAGGGAAGUUUUUGUGAUGGCAAAUAGCUACAGGAAAGGCAGGAGAAUAAAUUCUAGCCUAUAUAAUGAUUAAAUAAUUUGGGGGAAGGGUGUUCAUUUUUUAAAACUUGGAGUUAGAGCCAUCAAACUAAUGUUGCAUCAAAAUGUUUGAGGUCCAAGGAUUUUGUUCUGUUGUAUGGUGAUUGAAUGUCAAAAGCCAGGUAUAAAUGACGAGUAAAAGUGAUGAGCUGAAACCAUAACCUGCCCGUGGCAGAAACUUACUUUGUCCCUCAUCUCCAAGUUAGAAAUGAAAGUUUUCAGGAACACUGUUUAAGGGAACACGGAUGUAACUCUGUUCACGUGAUCCAGAAUCUUUUUUUUUUUUUUGUCUUUUUACCAUUUCUUGGGCCACUCCACACCAUAUGGAGGUUCCCAGGCUAGGGGUCGAAUCGGAGCUACAGCUGCCAGCCUAUACCACAGCCACAGCAACACAAGAUCCAAGCUGUGUCUGUGACCUACCCCACAGCUCAUGGCAACACCAGAUCCCCAAUCCGCUGAGCAAGGCCAGGGACCAAACCGCAACCUCAUGGUUCCCAGUCAGAUUUGUUAACCACUGAGCCACGAGGGGAACUCCCAGAAUGGGUAAGCAUUUUCAAGCAGUUAUAUUUUUUAUGCAGUAUGGCUAUAGCAAUUCACAGUAUUAGGUUGUUAGAUUGUGUUUAUCUCAUACAAACUCCUUUCUCUUUUUCCUCCUCUUGGAUCUCACACUCUUAGGAGCUAAGAUCAGGCACAAAGAAGUCCAUUCCCUUCCAGUACUCCUGCUAGAGUCUUCUCGGGAUGUCUUGCUAACCCUUAUCUCCUGACACAUCAUCUCUUGAAAAUAGCCUUCUAGAUUUCUUUGGCCCUAAAGUUAAAACUUUCUUUUUCUUUUGAGAACCUUUGAAAAAUAUCCUCUGUCCCAAAUAAGAAUCUAAAGCCUGAAACCAGUACUCCUUAACCCAUCACAGGCCACCAUAGCUUUAUACCCUGGAUAACUUCGUAUGAUUUAGCGUUCCCUUCAUUACAAAGGAAAGUGUAAAUUAAGUAUAUAGAAAUAAUAUUUGCAUUGAUUGAGCAACCAUUGAAUGCCACAUCCUAUAUUAUACCCUUAAUAUUCAUUCUGUGGUCUUCACAAUAACCCAAUGAAGUAAGUUCCAUAUUCAGCUUUUAUAGAUAAGGAAUUAUAGCUUAAGUUGAAAUUCUCAAAGCUGAAAAGUUAGGGAGAUGUAGGGUUAGAAACUGAACUCCUAUCUUUCUGAUUCUGUAUAUUCAUGACUUCUGCCUCCAGUUAUAUUGCCCACUAGAGAUUUUUCUAAGGAUGAAAUUUAAAUAUUACUGUACUAUUGAUACUCACCAACAGAUUAAUGGUUUUACCUGUUUCUUCCUGCACAUACUCAGUAGUCAUCCAAGCAUGAGUUCUUAACCCCUUAAUAAUUUUAUAUAUCAUUAGAUGCAUGCUAGGUAGUUUACUUAUGUUAUUUUUCUCUAAUCCUAAUAAUAAUCCUGGUUUACUAGUUUGUUGUUUGUUUGUUUUUCCCUUGUGCCUUGUAGGUUAAAGCGCUUCCCUUCAUUCUGGUGUAUGACUUCUUGUCAAAUGUGUUAGGAAUGGGCGAGGUUGUGCUGAGGUAACAGAAGACCCCACCUCAUUGGUUUCACACCUCAAAGGCUCAUUUCUUCUUCUCACCAUGUGUCCAUUGCAGGUUGGAGGACUCUACCCCAAAGGGACCUGGGCUGUCAGAGCAGCAUCUAUGGGGACGUUGCUGAUCUUGGCAUAGGAGAAAGACGUCAGUGUGGAAGACAGGAUAGCCAUAAAGCUACCCUCUGCAACUGACAGAAGUCACUUGUGUUCAUUCUAUUAACCAUGUCAAUUCCUAUGGCCAAGUCUGAUGUCAGUGAGGCAAGAAAAUAGUCUUCUCUCAGAGAGGCAGUGAAUAUUUGGAAUAGCUUAACACUGUCUAUGAAAUUACAUAUGAAAUCUCAUCAUAUCUCAACACUAUGGUCUAUGAGUCUUUUUAGUGGGUAAUUCAAACCUUCAGAGAGAUUAGAAAGGAUAGGUGGCAAGAAGAAGGGAACUAAGCUGCAAGGGCUAUUUGAGCGGCUUCUAUAAGAAUGACCUCCAGGAUUUUUGUCCUUUCACAAAUAGGUUUCUUCUCAUUUAUUGCUUUUGCUAAAAUGAAUUUUAGGCAUUAUCAAAAGGGAAUUUAUACAUGGUACUAUUGCCUUUUUGAAUUUAGAAUAUAUAUUUAGAAUUUGGAAUCGCUUUCUCUGGUGUCAGUUCUGCAGCUGAUUUUUUUAAUGUGUUAUGUGAGCAAAUGUAGAUUGUAACUAUAAACACAGUGCAAGGAAGAAGCAGACCCAUCUGUCUCUUUCAAACUUGAUUAGGGAAGGGUGUGCAGAUAAUAUUUUUAGUAUGGUCUUAAAAUUAAGGUUAAGUUGCUUUGAAGCAAGUUGACUACCAGAGAUUUAUUCAUUUUGAGGGUUAAGAUAAAACAAAUAGAAAAUAUAUACACAUUCCCAAAGACACAUUAUGUUGCUCCUUUAAAACCACAUUUAUUUUUUGAUUGCAUGGGAAAUAACAUUUGCAAGCAUAGAGAGCUUUCCUCCUCUGACUUUGGUGAUAGAAAUUUUGAAAUGGCAAACAAUUUUAUUACCUGUAGUUAAUACUAUUGGCAAGAAUUGAACAUGCUAGCAGGGAAAGUCUAUAUACUACCAUGCACUUAU